UAGGGAAUAUUGGGCAAUGGUCGAGAGACUGACCCAGCCAUGCCGCGUGCAGGAUGAAGGCUUUCUGAGUCGUAAACUGCUUUUAUCAGGGAAGAAAAAAGGGCAUGCGUGCUUUACUGACGGUACCUGAUGAAUAAGCACCGGCUAACUCCGUGCCAGCAGCCGCGGUAAUACGGAGGGUGCAAGCGUUGUCCGGAUUUAUUGGGUUUAAAGGGUGCGUAGGCGGCUUUUUAAGUCUGGGGUGAAAGCCCGUUGCUCAACAACGGAACUGCCCUGGAAACUGGAGAGCUUGAGUACAGACGAGGGUGGCGGAAUGGAUACUGUAGCGGUGAAAUGCAUAGAUAGUAUCCAGAACCCCGAUUGCGAAGGCAGCUGCCUAGACUGUAACUGACGCUGAGGCACGAAAGCGUGGGGAGCGAACA
rnacentral:rRNA from 1 species